rnacentral:rRNA from 1 species
AAUGGGUCAGCGACUUAUAUUCUGUAGCAAGGUUAACCGUAUAGGGGAGCCGAAGGGAAACCGAGUCUUAACUGGGCGUUAAGUUGCAGGGUAUAGACCCGAAACCCGGUGAUCUAGCCAUGGGCAGGUUGAAGGUUGGGUAACACUAACUGGAGGACCGAACCGACUAAUGUUGAAAAAUUAGCGGAUGACUUGUGGCUGGGGGUGAAAGGCCAAUCAAACCGGGAGAUAGCUGGUUCUCCCCGAAAGCUAUUUAGGUAGCGCCUCGUGAAUUCAUCUUCGGGGGUAGAGCACUGUUUCGGCUAGGGGGUCAUCCCGACUUACCAACCCGAUGCAAACUGCGAAUACCGAAGAAUGUUAUCACGGGAGACACACGGCGGGUGCUAACGUCCGUCGUGAAGAGGGAAACAACCCAGACCGCCAGCUAAGGUCCCAAAGUCAUGGUUAAGUGGGAAACGAUGUGGGAAGGCACAGACAGCCAGGAUGUUGGCUUAGAAGCAGCCAUCAUUUAAAGAAAGCGUAAUAGCUCACUGGUCGAGUCGGCCUGCGCGGAAGAUGUAACGGGGCUAAACCAUGCACCGAAGCUGCGGCAGCGACACUAUGUGUUGUUGGGUAGGGGAGCGUUCUGUAAGCCGUUGAAGGUGUACUGUGAGGUAUGCUGGAGGUAUCAGAAGUGCGAAUGCUGACAUAAGUAACGAUAAUGCGGGUGAAAAACCCGCACGCCGGAAGACCAAGGGUUCCUGUCCAACGUUAAUCGGGGCAGGGUGAGUCGACCCCUAAGGCGAGGCCGAAAGGCGUAGUCGAUGGGAAACAGGUUAAUAUUCCUGUACUUGGUGUUACUGCGAAGGGGGGACGGAGAAGGCUAUGUUAGCCGGGCGACGGUUGUCCCGGUUUAAGCAUGUAGGCGGAGGUUCCAGGUAAAUCCGGUACCUUUUUAACGCUGAGGUGUGAUGACGAGGCACUACGGUGCUGAAGUAACAAAUGCCCUGCUUCCAGGAAAAGCCUCUAAGCAUCAGGUAACACGAAAUCGUACCCCAAACCGACACAGGUGGUCAGGUAGAGAAUACCAAGGCGCUUGAGAGAACUCGGGUGAAGGAACUAGGCAAAAUGGUGCCGUAACUUCGGGAGAAGGCACGCUGAUAUGUAGGUGAAGUGAUUUACUCAUGGAGCUGAAAUCAGUCGAAGAUACCAGCUGGCUGCAACUGUUUAUUAAAAACACAGCACUGUGCAAACACGAAAGUGGACGUAUACGGUGUGACGCCUGCCCGGUGCCGGAAGGUUAAUUGAUGGGGUUAUCCGUAAGGAGAAGCUCUUGAUCGAAGCCCCGGUAAACGGCGGCCGUAACUAUAACGGUCCUAAGGUAGCGAAAUUCCUUGUCGGGUAAGUUCCGACCUGCACGAAUGGCGUAAUGAUGGCCAGGCUGUCUCCACCCGAGACUCAGUGAAAUUGAACUCGCUGUGAAGAUGCAGUGUACCCGCGGCAAGACGGAAAGACCCCGUGAACCUUUACUAUAGCUUGACACUGAACACUGGUCCUUGAUGUGUAGGAUAGGUGGGAGGCUUUGAAGUGUGGACGCCAGUCUGCAUGGAGCCAUCCUUGAAAUACCACCCUU